UAAUGUCCUGACCUAAAUACUUCACACAUUUACUAUUACCCACUGAAGAAUGCUUCAAGUUUAUGCUUUCACCAUCUAAACUCAAUCCUAUUCCUGAACAAAAUUCAUUUUCAUUGAUAUUGAAAUGCUUGUUUGCAAUAAUAAAAGAGUUGGUGGAAUCCACCCAUGUCUUGGUUAACUCACGCAAAAGUUUAACAUUCAAUGUCACUUUACCACUGAACUCUAAAAACAAAAAAAAUGGAGUCUUGGAGAUG
rnacentral:lncRNA from 1 species